AUUAUCACUAUUUCUGAUAUCAGAUUGACUCUGACUUCAUACUGAACCUCAAACAGACUGUCUGAGAGCAGCUGGAGUUGGUGUGAUUGUAGUUUUGUCUGUGAGAUUGCGAGGAUCAAACAAACGUCUUUGAGUUCUGUCAUGUUGCGUGUGGCUCAUCAUCUGCCACAGGCUGCGGUCCUGAGCGCUGCUUUACAUAAGGCUUACGUAACGAACGGCUGAGUCUCGUGGAGCGCAGGAGACGCUCUUCCAGCUGUUGAGAUCAGAGAACAUGCAUCAGAUCAGCUGAUUAUGAAGAGCUUCAUCUGCAGAAACCGCUCGGAGGAGCUCACUCUCUUCUCAGGAGAUAAUGGAGUUCUCAGACGCUGCUCUUAAGAAGACCUGCAUAACCGAGAUGCCGUCUUCCUCGUGUCACUCCAGCUCUGGCCCUGAGAAGAAGAUCGGUCACCGGCGGGUCGAUGCAUCCGGUGAAACCACCUACAAGAAGGUGCGUCUUCUUCAGUCUCCCAUGAGCUUCACGGUGUCUCGAUCUCAUCUGGCAAUUUUGUCAAUUUCAAUCACAAUGUCGGUCAUCUUUUACCUCAGGCUGCUGAUAUAUACAGCGUGGUCCAAAAGCGUCCAUGAUGGACAUCUAGGUUUUUUUUUAAAUCCUGGAAAUCAUCAGAAAGCUUUAGGAUUUUGAAAACAAAUUUUUGACUUUAUUGCAUACAGUACAUACACACAUUAAAAUUGCUAGACUUAAAACGUUAUCAUUAUAGACAUUAGUUUCAGUUAAAUAAAACAUUACUGUGCAUUGUUUAUUGACA
ensembl:lncRNA